rnacentral:rRNA from 1 species
UACGGAGGAUGCAAGCGUUAUCCGGAAUGAUUGGGCGUAAAGCGUCCGCAGGUGGCUAUGUAAGUCUGCUGUUAAAGAGUGAGGCUCAACCUCAUAAGAGCAGUGGAAACUACAUGGCUAGAGUGCGUUCGGGGCAGAGGGAAUUCCUGGUGUAGCGGUGAAAUGCGUAGAGAUCAGGAAGAACACCGGUGGCGAAAGCGAUCUGCUAGGCCGCAACUGACACUCAUGGACGAAAGCUAGGGGAGCGAAUGGG